rnacentral:rRNA from 1 species
CAGCCGCCGCGGUAAUACGUAGGGUGCAAGCGUUAAUCGGAAUUACUGGGCGUAAAGCGUGCGCAGGCGGUUUGUUAAGACAGAUGUGAAAUCCCCGGGCUCAACCUGGGAACUGCAUUUGUGACUGGCAAGCUAGAGUGUGGCAGAGGGGGGUGGAAUUCCGCGUGUAGCAGUGAAAUGCGUAGAUAUGCGGAGGAACACCGAUGGCGAAGGCAGCCCCCUGGGCCAACACUGACGCUCAUGCACGAAAGCGUGGGGAGCAAACAGGAUUAGAUACCCGGGUAGUCCCUGUCUCUUAUAC